rnacentral:rRNA from 1 species
GCGUCAGCAGCCGCGGUAAAACGUAGGGGGCGAGCGUUGUCCGGAAUUACUGGGCGUAAAGGGCACGCAGGCGGUACGCCAAGUCGGGGGUGUAAAGUUAUGGCUCAACCGUGACCUUGCAAUCGAUACUGGCGUACUGGAGUGCGGGAGAGGGGAGUGGAAUUCCCGGUGUAGCGGUGAAAUGCGUAGAUAUCGGGAGGAACGCCAGUGGCGAAGGCGGCUUCCUGGCCCGCGACUGACGCUCAUGUGCGAAAGGCAGGGGAGCGAACCGGAUUAGAUACCCGGGUAGUCCUGGCCGUAAACGAUGGGUACUAGGUGUAGGCGCGUCAAGCGUCUGUGCCGCAGUUAACGCGAUAAGCACCUCGCCUGGGGAGUACGGUCGCAAGGCUGAAACUUAAAGGAAUUGGCGG